rnacentral:rRNA from 1 species
AACGAACGCUGGCGGCAUGCCUAACACAUGCAAGUCGAACGAACCCUUCGGGGUUAGUGGCGCACGGGUGCGUAACGCGUGGGGAUCUGCCCAAAGGUUCGGAAUAACUCAGAGAAAUUUGAGCUAAUACCGGAUAAUGUCUUCGGACCAAAGAUUUAUUGCCUUUGGAUGAACCCGCGUAGGAUUAGCUUGUUGGUGGGGUAAAGGCCUACCAAGGCGACGAUCCUUAGCUGGUCUGAGAGGAUGAUCAGCCACACUGGGACUGAGACACGGCCCAGACUCCUACGGGAGACAGCAGUGGGGAAUAUUGGACAAUGGGCGCAAGCCUGAUCCAGCCAUGCCGCGUGAGUGAUGACGGCCUUAGGGUUGUAAAGCUCCUUCGCCAGGGACGAUAAUGACGGUACCUGGAUAAGAAGCCCCGGCUAACUUCGUG